GGGUGUGAAGUUCAACUGGUUGAAUAGCGGUCUCCAAAACCGAAGGUAGAUGGGUUCAAGUCCCUCGACACCCGCCA
rnacentral:tRNA from 1 species